UACGAAGGGAGCUAGCGUUGUUCGGAAUCACUGGGCGUAAAGCGCACGUAGGCGGCUUUCUAAGUCAGGGGUGAAAUCCUGGAGCUCAACUCCAGAACUGCCUUUGAUACUGGAGAGCUUGAGUCCGGGAGAGGUGAGUGGAACUCCGAGUGUAGAGGUGAAAUUCGUAGAUAUUCGGAAGAACACCAGUGGCGAAGGCGGCUCACUGGCCCGGUACUGACGCUGAGGUGCGAAAGCGUGGGGAGCAAACAGG
rnacentral:rRNA from 1 species